rnacentral:rRNA from 1 species
UACGAAGGGGGCUAGCGUUGCUCGGAAUCACUGGGCGUAAAGCGCACGUAGGCGGCUUUCUAAGUCAGGGGUGAAAUCCUGGAGCUCAACUCCAGAACUGCCUUUGAUACUGGAGAGCUAGAGUCCGGGAGAGGUGAGUGGAACUCCGAGUGUAGAGGUGAAAUUCGUAGAUAUUCGGAAGAACACCAGUGGCGAAGGCGGCUCACUGGCCCGAUACUGACGCUGAGGCACGAAAGCGUGGGGAGCAAACAGG